GUAGUAUAAAAUUUUCCAAUUUUUACACUUUGAAGU
rnacentral:rRNA from 1 species